rnacentral:rRNA from 1 species
CUCCUACGGGAGGCAGCAGUGGGGAAUAUUGGGCAAUGGACGCAAGUCUGACCCAGCAACGCCGCGUGAAGGAAGAAGGCUUUCGGGUUGUAAACUUCUUUUAAGGGGGAAGAGCAGAAGACGGUACCCCUUGAAUAAGCCACGGCUAACUACGUGCCAGCAGCCGCGGUAUACGUAGGGGGCAAGCGUUAUCCGGAUUUACUGGGUGUAAAGGGAGCGUAGACGGCAAUACAAGUCGGAAGUGAAAUACCCGGGCUCAACCUGGGAACUGCUUUGGAAACUGUAUGGCUGGAGUGCUGGAGAGG